rnacentral:tRNA from 1 species
GGAGGUAUAGCUUGGUAGAGUGUGUGCUUAACGUGCACAAGGUCCUGGGUUCAACCCCCACUACCUUCA